rnacentral:rRNA from 1 species
UACGUAGGGUGCAAGCGUUAAUCGGAAUUACUGGGCGUAAAGGGUGCGUAGGCGGUUGUUUAAGUCUGUCGUGAAAUCCCCGGGCUCAACCUGGGAAUGGCGAUGGAUACUGGGCAGCUAGAGUGUGUCAGAGGAUGGUGGAAUUCCCGGUGUAGCGGUGAAAUGCGUAGAGAUCGGGAGGAACAUCAGUGGCGAAGGCGGUUCUCUAGUACGGUACUGACGCUGAGACGCGAAAGCGUGGGGAGCGAACAGG